GUCGGAGGCGGAGGGCAGGCUACGAGGCGAUGAUCGUCAUUGAUGAGAAAGCUCCGUUUGGGUUCGUCUUCGUCAAGAUCCCAAGCAUCAUGAGAGGCGCGUGUAAUGAAAGACUGGACGAAGUCGAUGCCGAAGAAACCGAGGAGGUAGAUGAAGGAAGCGAUGAGGGAGACAAUGGCAGCGAUUUCGGGGAGAGUGACGACGUGGAGGGGCGUGGAGUUCCGGAUCUUGUCGCGCCACCUGUGCAGGAGGUAGUAGGCAACGGAGAAAAAUAAAGUGAAGAAAAUGGCGUUGGUGAGGUAGAGGGGGAGGGGUAGCGCGUCAGAUGCCUUAGGGGUUGGCGAUGGAGGGUUGUGGUGAUGAAGGGUCCCGCCGCCGGUUGUGGUGGCAGUAGACGGUUUAGGUGGCCGGCGGCGGAUGUCCAUGGUGGAAUAUUCCGGCGGCGGGAGGAGAAAUUGACGGGUUGGAAAGGAGAGAGAAAAAGACAGAGG
rnacentral:lncRNA from 1 species